rnacentral:rRNA from 1 species
GAUGAACGCUGGCGGCGUGCCUAACACAUGCAAGUCGAGCGAUCUUCUUCGGAAGAGAGCGGCGGACGGGUGAGUAACGCGUGGGUAACCUGCCCUGUACACACGGAUAACAUACCGCAAGGUAUGCUAAUACGAGAUAAUAUACUUUUAUCGCAUGGUAGAAGUAUCAAAGCUCUGGCGGUACAGGAUGGACCCGCGUCUGACUAGCUAGUUGGUAAGGUAACGGCUUACCAAGGCGACGAUCAGUAGCCGACCUGAGAGGGUGAUCGGCCACAUUGGAACUGAGACACGGUCCAAACUCCUACGGGAGGCAGCAGUGGGGAAUAUUGCACAAUGGGCGAAAGCCUGAUGCAGCAACGCCGCGUGAGCGAUGAAGGCCUUCGGGUCGUAAAGCUCUGUCCUCAAGGAAGAUAAUGACGGUACUUGAGGAGGAAGCCCCGGCUAACUACGUGCCAGCCGCCGCGGUAA